rnacentral:lncRNA from 1 species
AAAGACUUGAUGGAAUAAUUCACAAGAUCAAAAUAUUAAUACAAGAUGGUAUGCCUUACUCUGAAAGGAGCAGAAAGAACCAUGGGACAAGAGGUGUGCUUUUAAUUAGAACUGAAUGUAUUUGCUCUGAGAUCUAAAAUAUAGAAGGAAACAUAACCUCUAAAAAACUGGUGAAUGAUAAGGAAAAAACAAAACAGUUCUAUGGUGUGAGUAUGUGAUAGACCAAAUAUCUAGGUUAUCAUUUAGAAAGGGCUUUUUUAAACUCUAGCAGUAUCACCUAAAGAAUAGGCAUUGGAGAUGGGAGAAUUUCACCCACUGGAGAGAGACUGCAAUUACCCAGAUAUCUGUGGAGAAAGGAAUUCAUGAAGACAGAAACUCUCUGAAGAGUUUGGGAUGUUUGGUGCUGUUUUGAUAUUAAAAAUGAAGAAAAGUAGAGAAGAGAUGAGCGUAGAUACUAACCAGUGGAGAAUACUUUUGUUUUUUUUCAAGCCCAUUGUCUUUCUCUUGUCUCACCUCUGAUCCUCACAGCCCCACCUCUCUUUCUUGUGCUGUAGAUAGCUCUGCCCUUGCUUUGAGUAUAAAACCUAGGUGGGGGAGGUUGUUAAGCUGGUUAUGUGGAAUCCUUCCUGGGUGCUCUACACCCUCCCACCUCACAGUGUUUUUUCUGAAAUGUUGGUGAUUCCACAGAGGCAAGUCUGCUGUUAUACAAUAACCACAGAUGAAGAGACCUCUUGAAAUAAAUCUGUUUCAGAGCAUUUUCUGGAAGGGUUACACAAAAAGAGCUUGAGGAAGAAAAUCAGAAGAUGAAAGAGAAGAUCAAACGACUAGAGGCACGAAACAACGAGCUCUUGUCUAAAAUGAUGAGCAUGCACAAGCAAUCAGAGAACAUGAAUGACCCUUCACGCUUGUCUGCUGUAGUGCAAUUGUAUGAGAUGCUUAGGCUACAUGACUGGGAAAAAUUCAAGAAAUACUCAACCAACAUGACAUAUAAAAAUGGCAGAAGCAUAAUUAAGAAGCUGUUCGACACCUGUGAGAAAGACAUAGAGAUGAGAAAAAACGACAUAUUUAAUGUCCUUGACAUUUCGAAUUAUGCUAUGGCCAACUGCAAACAAGUAUUUAUUUUCUCUGUGUAACUGGGACCAGGCGGUGGGAUAACGGGGCUAUCUGUGCCUGCCAUUCAUUUAGAGCUUAGUUUCUGCAAGGGACACUGUUAAAGUAUACUGCUGAUGACAGUGGGGAUGUCAUGAGCUGAGAGGGAUGGGGGAGUGGAAAGUUGAUCUUCAGCAACCCUUCUGUGUCCCACAGACAUAUGCUGCAUGUCUGAAUUAUGUGGCUGGCUGAGGCACAUAAACAAGUGCAGAAGACAUUUCCCAGAUGCAUAUUGCUUUUAUAGGACCUUCCUCCAAAUCUUGAAACUGGAAGUUUCUCCAUUGCUGAUUGACAUGAUCUGGGAAACACAAUUUUCCCAGAUUAUUUCCCAACACACUCAGGGGCUGCACUGCUGGCAUCACAUGCUAAGCUUGCUUUGUGCUGUCUUUGGUUUGUAGGAGCUGAUGCCAAUUGUAACAGAACUCUUAAGAAAUGCCUAUUGCCAACAGCACUCAGACUUUUACAAAAAAAUUACUAAGGUAAGUAAAGAUACAGCCCAGAAAUAGGGGCAAAGAUUCAGUUUUCUGGUUAUGUCUGCGCAGUUUUGUACAAAACAGGACAGGUCUCUCUUCUUGGAAUUAUUUUCCACGUGUAGAGAGGGUCUUCUUUUUGGCCUGUUCUCCCACGUGCCUGGUGACAGGACGAGGGGGAAUGGGCUUAAAUUGCACCAGGGGAGUUUUAGGUUGGAUGUUAGGAAGAACUUCUUUACCGAAAGGGUUGUUAGACAUUGGAACAGGCUGCCCAGGGAAGUGGUGGAGUCACCAUCUCUGGAAGUCUUUAAAAGAUGUUUAGAUGUAGAGCUUAGGGAUAUGGUUUAGUGGGGACUGUUAGCGUUAGGUCAGAGGUUGGACUCGAUGAUCU